rnacentral:rRNA from 1 species
UGGGGAAUUUUGGACAAUGGGCGCAAGCCUGAUCCAGCCAUGCCGCGUGCGGGAAGAAGGCCUUCGGGUUGUAAACCGCUUUUGUCAGGGAAGAAAUCUUCUGAGUUAAUACCUCGGGAGGAUGACGGUACCUGAAGAAUAAGCACCGGCUAACUACGUGCCAGCAGCCGCGGUAAUACGUAGGGUGCAAGCGUUAAUCGGAAUUACUGGGCGUAAAGCGUGCGCAGGCGGUUUUGUAAGACAGAGGUGAAAUCCCCGGGCUCAACCUGGGAACUGCCUUUGUGACUGCAAGGCUUGAGUGCGGCAGAGGGGGAUGGAAUUCCGCGUGUAGCAGUGAAAUGCGUAGAUAUGCGGAGGAACACCGAUGGCGAAGGCAAUCCCCUGGGCCUGCACUGACGCUCAUGCACGAAAGCGUGGGGAGCAAACAGGAUUAGAUACCCUGGUAGUCCACGCCCUAAACGAUGUCAACUGGUUGUUGGGAAGGUUCCUUCUCAGUAACGUAGCUAACGCGUGAAGUUGACCGCCUGGGGAGUACGGCCGCAAGGUUGAAACUCAAA